rnacentral:lncRNA from 1 species
CCCAUCCAGAGUGAUUCCUUGAUGUCACCAACUGAGUCCAUCCACCUCUCAGAGUGACCUGCCUGGCAUGGUUUACCAUGUUCAGCAUUUUCCCUGGCAGCUGAAGGCAUCCUAAAAUAGCCUCUGGACCUUGGAAGGAACCUCUCCUGGUGCCUACAGUAAGAAGAAUCCAGGCACGACGCUGCUCUACCUAACAAGGUCCGGAUUUUCUGCAGGCUGGGAUUAGAGCCCUGUAACAGCGGUGAGACUGGAUGGUGAACUUGCUGGAAUGAAUUGUUUCCAUUCAUUCAACAAACAUUGGCUGAGUGCCUGCCAGGGUGCCAGACAUGCUGCCAAGUGCCAAAGUAAAGGACUUUUCUUUUUAAACCUCGGCCCCCAGCUCAGCACCAGGCGCUUCUUGCAAGUUCAAGGCGGGCUUGAGGGGAGCCCUGCUCCUCUGUGGGUGAUUCCACCUGCCUGAAUCAGACAUCCUGCCUGGGCCCAGAAUGAACCCCACUGCACCUUAACCCUCCAACUCUCAAUGGACAGGGGUCCAGGGGGAGUUUGGGGAAGCCAAGAGUCCCUACAGUCCUAGACUCUGACAAAAAAGACCUCAAAGCUGGGGAUGGAGUGG